GGAUGUGAGGGUGAUCUAGCUGCGACAUCUGCCACCCCAUUGAUUGCCAGGGUUGAUUCAGCUGAUCUGGCUGGCUUGGCAAGUGUCCUCUUCCUCCUUCACUACUCCAUGUGCAUCACUCCUGAAGCUGCACACUCAGUUGAAGAGGGUGACCAACACUGCUAGAGGAGGAUCAUUCUUCACUCAAGGGUAUAUGAGUAGCUGCGCUCCCUGCUAGAACCUCUAAACAAGCUCUCAAGGUCCAUUUGUAUUCACUGAUAUAUAUGCCAUCAUAUGCUGUUAAUGCAUAAGUCU
rnacentral:snRNA from 1 species